rnacentral:ncRNA from 1 species
AAGAACGCAUCCGGGUGUUUAACUCGUCUACUGUGCCCGGCACCCAAGUCCUUCUCGAUAUCUUUCAUCGAUUGAGAUGCGCACUCGAGUGGAUUCGGGCACAGGAAAUGAGUUGAUCUGAGAAAUACCGGUGAACUUGAUCUGGAUAAUACCAGCGAAAGGACAUGCUUCUUUGGCAAUC